UCGAUAAUGUAUCGAUAAAAUCGAUGAAAAUGUCAUAUAUAACUUACUUAGACGCUCAGAAGUGUUUGCCUUUAAAAAUAUAUAAAUAAUUGGCGCUAGAUGAGUGCAUUUUUGUGAAAUACUUUAUUAUAUAUGUAGGUCACUGUGCUAAAUAAGUUUUCCACAAGUUGGUUAUGAGCAAGAGCCUUAACCAAGCUCAUCAUCAUCGUCUAUUGAUUCUGAAACUUUAAACGCAAACAAAGUUGCGAACUUUGUGCCAAGAUUGUUAGAAAGUAGUUGAUGAGCCGGAAAGGAAGAUCCUUGAAAAGUAGUUCUUAUCUGUGCAGUUGCCUAUCGCCUAUCGCCAAUCGAUUUUCUUGUCCCUCCCCUCGCGCGGCAAAUUAUUUUCACUUGACAAGCAGUGAGCACAAAGCAGCAACAAAGGGAAUUGCAGCAACAGCGACAGCUAAACGAUAAUAUUGCAUAGGAUUUGGGUCAAACGGCCCAAGCAGCGCAGCAAUGGAAACAGCAGGCGUCCCAUAGUAAUGCGGCUAAUUCAGCUUGUUUUUUCUUUACCGACUCUGCUUACUCAAAAGGGUCGAUAGACGGCCUGAUUAGUGCUCCAGUUGCAUCACGGAGUGCAUUUUGGUUGCAACUGGCGAAGGAGCCAUUGAUUUUCACUAACAACUUGUUGGUUUCUUUCAUAUUCUACCUAUAGUCUGAACCUAUUAUCACUAUAACUAAAUACUUUCCUAUUAAGAAAAGUUAAUUUCCCUGCCAUUGUUGCCGAAUCCAUUCAAUAUUCAAGCAGUUUUUAAAGCCGUUCCCAUUUAUUGACACCUAUGUGCCCAAGAUUUGACAGCUUGUUUUCCUCACUUGACAGUUUUGUCUGGAUUAGCUCUUAGCUACUUUUGGAUUUUUGGCAGCACUGUUUGCUGUACACUUUUUUUUUGCUCGCCCAUCUCUUUUUAGUAACGUAUCCGCCUCUCAUCUCUCCCUGUCCAUAUGUCCAUCCAUUUCGAGACGGGCGGUUGGUCUGCAGUUGUCUGUUUUGUGGGGCUUGCCUGUUGUAUAAUUUGCAAAAGUUCUGCUCUACCGCCGCGCUCCAUCUCUUUCUAGUCCCCGAUGGCUCUCUCCCGCUCGCUACCCCUCUCGCUCUGUGACCCCGUCCCUUUCUAUUGGACCCCUGGGUGCAAAUUGUGUUGCCCGCUGUCAGUGGCAGUUGCAUAAUCCUUUUCGUUUCGUUUCGCUUGGGUCCUCUCCCUCUUUCCCACCUCUUUCUACUCUUCCCAUUGUUUUGGUUCUCCUUGUCCCUAUUCCUCUUGUUCGGCGUAUCCCGCUGGUGCUUCCUCUUCUCCCGUUACCGUUACAGUUUCAGUGGCUGCGCUUGGCGUGUCAGAAAUGUUAAACGGCUAACAAGCACACACAAACUCAAAUGCAAACAAGCCAAACACGUGACACGUUAGAAAACAGGAGCUUUUGUAUGGCCAAACACAAGGGUGGACCUUAAUUCAAACACUCGCAGGGUCACACUUCGACAGAACAUGAUCAGUUUGCUGGUUCAAAAGGAAAGCUAAACAAAAUCAAGAAGAUAGUUUUUCAAAGCGAUGUCCUUACUUGAUUUUUCUUAUGAUAGAUAUGGUAACAUGUAUUACGAUAAAAAGAGUUCACAGCCUUGAAAUCAGCCCACAGUUAAGGUCCACCCAAGGGAAUUUGAGGUGUGUGUGCAUGUGUGUGCGUGUGAAAUAAUUAACAAGGUAUUAGCCGCAUCCCAAACACCCGAAACGUAUGAGUGUGUGUGUGUGUGUGUUCUGGGUAUAGUAUCAAACUUGAGGUUAGGUUUCAGUCUCUUUCCGUCUCUUUCACGCUUUUGUUCAACAUAUUUGCAUUGAAUCUGUUAUGCUGUAAUGACACUGAAAACAUUUCAACUGCGUUUGAAAGCACUACUACUCAAAAAUUGUUUGCUUCUGUGCACCUGAUAACACUGCGUAUGAGUAAUAUCGUUUGGAACACUAUGUUUGGGCAUCCGAGUUUGGUUUUUCCAUAGUUUUCGGAUUGGUUCCCAGUGUUGCACAGGCACCACAAUUGACACUCAAGUUGAAGCGAAGGAUAGAGAUAAGGAUGCGCCAGGGGUUGUGUGGGAGGGGGAGAGGGGGGCAAAAGGUCAUGAAGAGCCAUGUGCGGGCGAAAUCCCAAUUUAAUUGGCCUAGAAUUGGAAUCAUCUGCAGCACACUUACAUUUACAUACAUACAUACACGUGUGUGUGUAUAUGUAAACGAGUGAGAUUCAAUUGCGGUUAAGCCAAUAGAACCAUCAUACGUGAAAUAAAAUGUAACAAGCAUUCGAUAUUCAUUUUUAAAUCUAUACGCAGCUUACUAUAAGUCAAUUAGUUUCUAACUUUAAGUUAUAUUUAUUAAUUGCGAUUGAAAUCGCUGCUAUUCUUAUACCCAACUAUUGUAGAUGAUAUAUACAUAUGUAUGCAAAUAUAUUGUGGAUACUUUUGAGGGGUCUUAUCGAUUUCCUGGAAUUCCCCACAGCGAGAUAAAGAUAGAGAGAGAUGGCGUAACCUGAAGUUUAGCAUCUCUUUUUCAUCGGCAUUGGCAUUCAGCUGAGGCCAGCUAAAAAAUGUGGCCGCAAUAAAAAUAAAACAAACACAAAUACCGAGGAAAACCAUGCAGAACACAAAUUGAAGGAGCACAAAUAAUGGAGGAAAAAAAAAUAACAAUGCUUAAAAGGGCAUUUUCGGGAAGCAUUCCAAAGCAUUCGAUAACUCAUUUUGAGUUCAAGUGGCCGAAUCCAUUGCAUAACGUGUACAGUGGUCUCUCGAUAAAAUGCAGGCAAUUCUUAUUUGAAGAUUUAAAAUUUUAAGCAACUUUUAUAUAUGCUAAACUCCUUGAUUAAUCGCGGGGAUUAGGUAUCUGAAGCUUGUAAGAAUGUUCGAAAACGUUUUCGAAAGUUUCGUAAGCUUGACUAAUAUUAGUUGGGUGUUAUAUUCAAUAUUCAGCUGUGUGAAUUUGAAAUAUGUACUUUCGAAUUGCCUUGCCCAGCUCCCCAGGGAAACCUUUAGUUUCCCACUGAGCUGUACUUUAUGUACACACAUUUCAAUGACUGCGCGUACUUUUCCAUGCAAUAUUGGUGGCCCAGCAAUGCCCCAUGGAAUUCCGUGCUCUCUCUCUCUCGUUCUAUCCGAGCAGCUGUCUCGCUCGCUCCUUUUGGGGCUGUCCUGUUUUGGGGCGCAGGAAAUUAAAUGGGCGCCAUGGAUUUCGUUUCAAUUUUGCUUUUUUCUCUUUUUUUUUUGCCCUGAAAAGUCGGAUUUUAGUUUUCCCCCAUUUGGGCCACUUGACUGCUGCUGAAGCGAAACAUAUUGGCAGCAGCAUGUGGGUAUAUUGUGUGUGUCCGUAUAAGCACUGCCACGCCCCCAACGCCCGUUCCCUUCCGCUGUCAGUGGCGGCGUCAGUUUGCAUUGAAAUGUAUGCAUUCGAGAUGCAUUCUGACAGUUUCUGAUUUCCGCUUCCCGGGCAAAAGCUGCUCAAUGCCUCAAUGACACUGCACUAAGCCAACAAUUAAAGCCCAUUUCACACCGACGGACUUAUGAAUUUAAAGCUGGCUGUUUGGAGGAUUAAAUAAGGCAAGAUCUAAAAAUACGAUUUAAAAAAUUUAUUUAUUUAUGCAUUGAAAAAUGAUUGAAAAUAUCUACUGAUUUGUCUUCAAAGAAUGAUUACAUCUCAUUGUUAUUUAACUUAUGCAUCAAGUUAAACUAUUUUUCCGGUUGAUUGUUGCAUUUUUCUCAGUGUAAUUUCGCACUACAAGUUAACUGCAGAAUGCCAACAAAGUUUUCGAUCCGUUUGUUUAUUCGUUCGACUGCACUUCAGUUGCUUGUUGUCGUUAUUCAAUGUGUUCAACAUUAUUAACCGCAGUGGCCCCUAUUUUUUUUAUUUAUUCCCUGUUUGUUUUCACAAUCCAAGAAUCCGUUCUGGUGUGAAGGAGUUAAUUACUCAGCUCUCGCUUUCGGUUUUGAGCCUGUUUUUUCCCUUUCCGCUGAGUAGGCAAAUUAAAGCAGUUCGAUUCGGAAAUAUCGGAAAUAACACACACAACAGCUUUAAAAACGAGCGACUGAAAAAAUAAACUGCCCAUUUGAGUCGAGUUUCUUCUCGGAAGGAAAUCAUGUGUGAGAAUUGGACGCGAAAGAUUUUAAGUAAAGACAUUAUAUUGGAAGAAACCUUUUUAUCUACACGCCAAAAUUGCAGGAUUUGAGAAAACGCGUCAUCAUUAACGAAAAAUUAAAUAAUAUUUAGCAAAAAGAUAGAAAGAGCAGAGCUGAAGUAUUUGUAUAUAAGCCUAUAUGUUAAAUUUAGUUAUUUUUUAUUGUAAAAAUGUAUGACAUGCUCAUGUCAUUCUAAAACGAUAGAUGUUUUUUAAACAAAAAUAAAAAAAUAUUAUAUAUUAUAUACUAAAAUAUUAUAAAAAUGUAGAAUAGAAACAAGAAUUGAUUAUAUUUUAAAUGUAGAAUAGAAAACCUCCUUGUAGAGAUAUCUGUCCCACAGAAGUAUACAAUAUUAUAUAAAUAUAUUUAUACAUUUAAAAGUGAACAGUUUUUCUGAAAGUUUAAUUAACAUUGCUGUUUAACCAUGA